rnacentral:lncRNA from 1 species
UUUGAUUUUAUCUCUACAAAGAACAAACCCAGAUCACAUCAUAACAAUAAUGGAGAUUGAAAAUUUUUUAUUCUUUGAUCUGUUGAACGCAUGUACAUCCCCAUUGGGACCUUUGGUUUUUUAUCUAAAACGAAAAAACCAAGCCCCAAGAUCAAUAAAACCAGCUUCAGUUUCUUUUUUCUUUUUUUUCUUUUUUUUUAUUCUUACAAAAGUGAAAUGAUUUACUGGGG